CUAACUUCGUGCCAGCAGCCGCGGUAAUACGAGGGGUGCAAGCGUUAAUCGGAAUUACUGGGCGUAAAGCGUACGCAGGCGGUUUGUUAAGCAAGAUGUGAAAGCCCCGGGCUCAACCUGGGAACUGCAUUUUGAACUGGCAAACUAGAGUCUUGUAGAGGGGGGUAGAAUUUCAGGUGUAGCGGUGAAAUGCGUAGAGAUCUGAAGGAAUACCGGUGGCGAAGGCGGCCCCCUGGACAAAGACUGACGCUCAGGUACGAAAGCGUGGGGAGCAAACAGGAUUAGAUACCCUGGUAGUCCACGCCGUAAACGAUGUCUACUCGGAGUUUGGUGUCUUGAACACUGGGCUCUCAAGCUAACGCAUUAAGUAGACCGCCUGG
rnacentral:rRNA from 1 species